rnacentral:rRNA from 1 species
UGAACUNGCGGAAGGAUCAUUG